UUUGUGCAUCUAAGUUAUUUGUGGAUGUUGGUGUGUAGGUUUUUUUCUAGAUGUGUCCUCAUCUGGCUUUGGUAUGUGUGCAAUGCUGGCUUUAUAAAUUUGGAACAUGUUCAUCCCUUUGUAUUUCAUGGAGUAAUUUGAGGUGUUUUGGCAUCAGUUCUCCUUUAAAGGUUUUUGGUACACCUCAGCUGGGAGUCCAUCCAGCCCUGGGUUUUUCUUUGCUAGAGACAAUAAUUAAAAGCCUUCCAUCUCAUUACAACUCAUUGGUCUGUUUGGGUUUUCUUUUGCUCUUGAUUCAGUUUUGGUAGAUCCUAUUUAUCUAGAUAUGUAUUCAUUUAUUCUAGGUUUUCCAAUGUAUUGGCGUACCAGUUUCAAAGUAGUCUCUAAUGAUCUGCUGGAUUUCUGUGGUAUCUAUGGUGAUUUCACCUUUUUAAUCUCUAAUUUUAUAAACUUGGAUUUUCUCUCCUUUUCUCUUGGUUAUGUUAGCAUUAUCCAUCUUGUUUACAUUUUCAAAGAAACACUGUUUCAUUGGUCCUUAAUGUUGUUAUUUUUUAUUCCCAAGUGCAUUAAUGUUGGCUCUGAUCUUAUUUCCUUCCUUCCUUCAGUGUUUGCUCCUCCACCAUAGCCUGGCUUUUACACCAUUUCCCAUUUACAAGGUGCAUGAUGGGGGCUUCCUCAGUAGAGGGCGCUGAAGUGACACUGCAGGAAGCAGAGGCCUCUUGUGGUUAAGCUACUGCACCAUUGCUCUGUGAUGCUGGUAUGAGUCCAUGUGAGGGCAGCCUGGAUCAGGUGAGGGGAUUCUCAGAUCCUGAGGAAGGCUUUGGUCUCCAGGAAAAUUUUCCAACCCUUUCCAAGCUGAUCUUAGGUGAUGGUGCCCUCCUAGUGAAUGGUCCAACUGUAGUGGGAGGUACUGACUCUGAGUUCAGAACUUGGCAGUCCCUGGCUCUACCCAUGCCCACCUGAGUGGUAACACAACAACCACACUGCCUUUACCGGCGCAUAUUCCCAAGGGUCCCCCAUGCCUUUCUGUUCAGAGGAAGCUGUGAGAGCCAUGGAAGCUGCUCCCACAGGGGUGAAGACCUGGCACAAGGCAGAAGAUGCUGCAGACUACUGAAGAUGCUGCAGACCUUGAAGAAAAAGAAACCAGAUGCUGAUGUGGAUCCACUUGGAGGGAAGGGAGCUACAGGCCUUGGGCACCAGGAUGCUAUGGUCUUUUGGAUCCUCUGUAAUGAACCCACAUAAUACAAUGGGAAGAGACCUUGGGACAAUUCUAAAUCUCACAUGAAGCCAUUGGCAGGUCUCUGACAAAGGUGAGACUAUCUCUGAAUAUCAGCCACUAUAGCAUUCCACUGGUGCAGAGAGGGGACCAUGGCCAAGGCAGGA